GACAGAGGGUGCGACCGUUGUUCGGAAUUACUGGGCGUAAAGGGCUCGUAGGCGGCCAACUAAGUCAGACGUGAAAUCCCUCGGCUUAACCGGGGAACUGCGUCUGAUACUGGAUGGCUUGAGUUUGGGAGAGGGAUGCGGAAUUCCAGGUGUAGCGGUGAAAUGCGUAGAUAUCUGGAGGAACACCGGUGGCGAAGGCGGCAUCCUGGACCAACACUGACGCUGAGGAGCGAAAGCCAGGGGAGCAAACGGG
rnacentral:rRNA from 1 species